AGGCACUAGUUUUUACGAAAGCGACUGCCAUCUGACCUUCCAACCCAGAGGGGAAACUAGGCCUUAUUGGGAUUAGUCCGUAAAUAUCAAAUGAUAUUCGUACAUAAGUUCCGAAAAACUCAUUGGUACGAGCCGGGGUUUGAACCCGCGACCUCCGGAUUGCAAGUCGCACGCUCUUACCGCUAGGCCACCAGCGCUUAUA